rnacentral:rRNA from 1 species
UGUUAUAAGAAUUUAUUUAUAAUAAGAUCUGCUCAAUGAUUUUUAAAUAGCCGCUUAUAGUGCUAAGGUAGCAUAAUCAUUUGUCUUUUAAUUAAAGACUAGAACAAAAGAUUUAACGUUUAAAUUUAUUUCUUAAAACUAAUUAUUUUAAAUUAUCUUAAAUGUAAAAAGACAUUUAUUAAAAAAAAAGACGACAAGACCCUAUUGAACUUAACUUAAGUUUAACUGGGGCAGUUAAUAAUUUAAUAUUUUUAUUUAAGAAUUUAUAUAAAAGAUCCAAUAUUAUUGAUUUUAUAAUUAAGUUACCAUAGGGAUAACAGCGUAAUAAUUCUUUAAAGAACUUAUUAAAAGAAGAGAUUGCGACCUCGAUGUUGAAUAAUAACCUGAUUUACGCAAUAGUUAAUUAAGGAAGUCUGUUCGACUUUUAAAAAAUUACA